GAUGAACGCUGGCGGCGUGCCUAAUACAUGCGAGUCGAGCGAACAGACGAGGAGCUUGCUCCUCUGACGUUAGCGGCGGACGGGUGGGUAACACGUGGAUAACCUACCUAUAAGACUGGGAUAACUUCGGGAAACCGGAGCUAAUACCGGAUAAUAUAUUGAACCGCAUGGUUCAAUAGUGAAAGACGGUUUUGCUGUCACUUAUAGAUGGAUCCGCGCCGCAUUAGCUAGUUGGUAAGGUAACGGCUUACCAAGGCAACGAUGCGUAGCCGACCUGAGAGGGUGAUCGGCCACACUGGAACUGCAACACGGUCCAGACUCCUACGGGAGGCAGCAGUAGGGAAUCUUCCGCAAUGGGCGAAAGCCUGACGGAGCAACGCCGCGUGAGUGAUGAAGGUCUUCGGAUCGUAAAACUCUGUUAUUAGGGAAGAACAAAUGUGUAAGUAACUAUGCACGUCUUGACGGUACCUAAUCAGAAAGCCACGGCUAACUACGUG
rnacentral:rRNA from 1 species